rnacentral:rRNA from 1 species
GAUGAACGCUGGCGGUAUGCCUAACACAUGCAAGUCGUACGAGAGUUUUUAACUCUAGCGGCGAACGGGUGAGGAACACGUGAGAAAUCUGCCUUCAACACUGGGAUAACUCCGGGAAACCGGGGCUAAUACCGGAUAUGAAACCUGCGGGCAUCCGCGGGUUUAGAAAGUUUUUCGGUUGAAGAUGAUCUCGCGGCCUAUCAGCUUGUUGGUGAGGUAAUGGCUCACCAAGGCGACGACGGGUAGCCGGCCUGAGAGGGCGACCGGCCACACUGGGACUGAGACACGGCCCAGACUCCUACGGGAGGCAGCAGUGGGGAAUAUUGGGCAAUGGAGGAAACUCUGACCCAGCGACGCCGCGUGCGGGAUGAAGGCCUUCGGGUUGUAAACCGCUUUCAGCAGGGAAGAAGCGAAAGUGACGGUACCUGCAGAAGAAGCACCGGCUAACUAUGUG